rnacentral:rRNA from 1 species
AUUGAACGCUGGCGGCAGGCCUAACACAUGCAAGUCGAGCGGAUGAAGGGAGCUUGCUCCUGGAUUCAGCGGCGGACGGGUGAGUAAUGCCUAGGAAUCUGCCUGGUAGUGGGGGAUAACGUCCGGAAACGGGCGCUAAUACCGCAUACGUCCUGAGGGAGAAAGUGGGGGAUCUUCGGACCUCACGCUAUCAGAUGAGCCUAGGUCGGAUUAGCUAGUUGGUGGGGUAAAGGCCUACCAAGGCGACGAUCCGUAACUGGUCUGAGAGGAUGAUCAGUCACACUGGAACUGAGACACGGUCCAGACUCCUACGGGAGGCAGCAGUGGGGAAUAUUGGACAAAGGGCGAAAGCCUGAUCCAGCCACGCCGCGUGUGUGAUGAAGGUCUUCGGAUUGUAAAGCACUUUAAGUUGGGAGGAAGGGCAGUAAGUUAAUACCUUGCUGUUUUGACGUUACCAACAGAAUAAGCACCGGCUAACUUCGUG